ensembl:lncRNA
CAAGCAUGUAGAAGGUGAUCAGGUCAUGAGGGUGAAGCCUCAAUCAACAAGAUUAGUGAUGUCAGAAGAAGCCAGAAUGGAUGCCCUUACCCAAACCAAACUAUGCCUGCACCCUGACCCCAAACCUGUAGCUUGCAGAACUGUGAGGAAUGAAGGGUUGUUGUUUUAGCUACCCAGUGGACAGUGACUCAGAUGGGAGGGGAACAGAGACGGAAGACAGAGACAGGGAGAAGAAAGGUGGUUUUAUGUUUGUUCGCUGGGCUGGUGAUUGAGCCCACAGCCUCCCACAUCCUAAACAAAUGUUCGUUCACUGAGCUAAAUCCCCAGCAUGAUUUGUGUCAGUGAGAAGAGGCUCCAUCUCUGCAGGUCAACAGAAGUCUUCUGUUAUUAUGGGCCAAGACUUAGUUACGGGAAGAGGCUGUGGGAGAGGAGGGUGCGGAGAGGAAAACAGAAAGGUUUGGGGGAAGUUGAAAAGGUUUGUCCAACUUGAGCGUAUGCAUAGGACAGUGCAGGAGGUUGAUGAUGAAGAUCCCUGUGGAGCUACGGCCUAAUUGUAAAACUCACACUGGCCUCAAACAUGCAAUCCUCCGGCCUCAGCUUCCUGGGUGCUGGGGAUAAAACCCAGUAAGGCAAGCACUCCAGCCACAUUCCCAGCAUCCUAUGUAUGUGUGGUCUUAAUCUUUCACUCAACUAAAUCGUAGCUAAAUCAAGUUUCAAAUGGCUUUCGGAUUCUAAGACACCAUGUAGAACCUUUCAGAAAUGAAAAUUCACGGUGCUGGAGAGGCGGUUUAGUGGUUAGGAGCACAUGGUGCUCUGGCAGCAAAUCUGAGACUUAUCUCCUUUUGGAAAGGUUUGAGCGUGUCUUGGCAUCAGUGGCCGAGAGUAAGCUUCAACUGAAGAAGAAAGCCCCAGCAACUGAGCAGAGUCGUGGCCGUGGCCGGGGGAAGCCCCUAUUGAGGAUGCUCGGGCUGCAGAGGCGUCCACAGGAGACCGCAAUCAUUGGCGCAAGCCCUGGAAACUCAUCAACAAUGAGAACAGGAACCUGAGCUGAAGGAUUUGUGACAACGUGGGCAGAACAGAACAGUGAGAAUUUGGGUGGACAGAUUUCAUAAGAAACUAUUAAGCAAGAGGUGUCUGACUAAGCUGGCAACCCAGCCCCAGAAACAGAACAGACCUGGCGACCGUCCUAGGAGGCAGGCUGGAGGCAGGGAGUCAGCUGGAUCCAAAUCGGGAACAGAGUGGGGGAGGGGCGGCGAGCAGAGCCCGGAAGACCCCAAGGUCCACGGAACAUUUUGUCGUCAAGUCUUGGAGUUAAGUGGCCUAGUUCGUUACACUUACUUCUGACUGGAGGCUAGGAACAGCUUUGCUGAUGGUUGCAAGGGAGCAAGAAGAAAAUAAUUGACCAAUAAUUCACCUAAGUGAGCCAAGCAGGCACUAAAAGGCAAAAUGCCAUUCAGCCGCUCAACAUCCAGUGUGCUGCGGGGAACGACACAAGCUGAAAGUUUUCACUGAUGCCCCAGGAAAACACGGAGCCCCUGGCUCGCUCUAUUGAAAUCCUGGUUAAUGCUUUUGUGAGCAAGAAGACUGCGGGAAGCAGCCUGCAAACAGCUAUCAUGGGAAGCAGAGAUGCUCGCAGGGAGUAGGAACAGGUGGAGACUUGGGAGUUGGGGCUACCAGGUACAGAUGAAGAACCAUGGUGGAUUCGAACUUUCCCUUGUUCAUGCCUAGCUCUUCCCAGGUCUUUUCUAAGGUUCCUUUUCCUGUCAAUUCACACCUAGUUCAGGGCAAACAGUUAAGGGUUGAGGAGGGGGGGUGGAAUGCUCACUCUUUAUAGGCUUGGGGGAGCAACCUGCUCUGUGCGAUAAUCAUUUGUCUAGGGCAGAUAUUUGCAAACCUCUGCUGAGCGUCGGGAUCUGAAAUAGAAGACACCUGCAGUAGCUGCCGCUUCUCCACACGCCUUACACACCACAGAACGUCAUUGGCGCUCUGCACCUGAGUUUCAAUUAAUGGGCUGAAUGGAUGACCUUUGACCUUUGGAAUUUUAUU